rnacentral:rRNA from 1 species
GAGUUUGAUCAUGGCUCAGAACGAACGCUGGCGGCGUGGAUAAGACAUGCAAGUCGGACGGGAGUUUUCUUUUGGUAGUAAUACCGAAGGAAGUUCAGUGGCGAACGGGUGCGUAACACGUGGGCAAUCUGCCUUAAAGUGGGGGAGUAGCUCGGCGAAAGCCGAAUUAAUACCGCAUGUGAUUAGCGGAGACAUCUUCGCAACAUCAAAGUCGGGGCAACCUGACGCUUUUUGAGGUGCCCGCGGCCUAUCAGCUUGUUGGUGGGGUAACGGCUCACCAAGGCUUUGUACGGGUAGGCUGGUCUGAGAGGACGACCAGCCACACUGGAACUGAGACACGGUCCAGACACCUACGGGUGGCAGCAGUCGAGAAUUUUUCUUCAAUGGGGGAAACCCGUGAAGGAGCGACGCCGCGUGGAGGAUGAAGGUCUUCGGGUUGUAAACUCCUGUCAUUUGGAACAAUGCGUGCGUAUUAACUGUACGUGCGUUGAUAGUACCAGAAGAGGAAGAGACGGCUAACUCUGUGCCAGCC